CAACCCUCAAGCGCUGUUCCGCUUGGAGUUGGGGCUCUUGCAGCGAGCACCUCUGGUGCUUUGCAAGCCCCUAAAUUCAGCGGCGGGCCCGCCGGCACACCGAGCGCAGUAAUUUUACUUCUCGUUCAGGGCGUGCGGCGCGGCGCAGCCGACCUUCUAAAACUUUCCAA
rnacentral:misc_RNA from 1 species